UUCCGGGUGGUCCAGUGGUUAGGACUCUGUACUUUCACUGCUGAGGGCGUGGGUUCAAUCCCUGGUCAGGGAA
rfam:TPA: Bos taurus chromosome X, whole genome shotgun sequence.